UGUGUGUUAGUGGAAGCGUCUGGAAAGGCGCGCGAUACAGGGUGACAGCCCCGUACACAAAAAUGCACAUGCUGUGAGCUCGAUGAGUAGGGCGGGACACGUGGUAUCCUGUCUGAAUAUGGGGGGACCAUCCUCCAAGGCUAAAUACUCCUGACUGACCGAUAGUGAACCAGUACCGUGAGGGAAAGGCGAAAAGAACCCCGGCGAGGGGAGUGAAAAAGAACCUGAAACCGUGUACGUACAAGCAGUGGGAGCACGCUUAGGCGUGUGACUGCGUACCUUUUGUAUAAUGGGUCAGCGACUUAUAUUCUGUAGCAAGGUUAACCGAAUAGGGGAGCCGAAGGGAAACCGAGUCUUAACUGGGCGUUAAGUUGCAGGGUAUAGACCCGAAACCCGGUGAUCUAGCCAUGGGCAGGUUGAAGGUUGGGUAACACUAACUGGAGGACCGAACCGACUAAUGUUGAAAAAUUAGCGGAUGACUUGUGGCUGGGGGUGAAAGGCCAAUCAAACCGGGAGAUAGCUGGUUCUCCCCGAAAGCUAUUUAGGUAGCGCCUCGUGAAUUCAUCUCCGGGGGUAGAGCACUGUUUCGGCAAGGGGGUCAUCCCGACUUACCAACCCGAUGCAAACUGCGAAUACCGGAGAAUGUUAUCACGGGAGACACACGGCGGGUGCUAACGUCCGUCGUGAAGAGGGAAACAACCCAGACCGCCAGCUAAGGUCCCAAAGUCAUGGUUAAGUGGGAAACGAUGUGGGAAGGCCCAGACAGCCAGGAUGUUGGCUUAGAAGCAGCCAUCAUUUAAAGAAAGCGUAAUAGCUCACUGGUCGAGUCGGCCUGCGCGGAAGAUGUAACGGGGCUAAACCAUGCACCGAAGCUGCGGCAGCGACACUAUGUGUUGUUGGGUAGGGGAGCGUUCUGUAAGCCUGUGAAGGUGUGCUGUGAGGCAUGCUGGAGGUAUCAGAAGUGCGAAUGCUGACAUAAGUAACGAUAAAGCGGGUGAAAAGCCCGCUCGCCGGAAGACCAAGGGUUCCUGUCCAACGUUAAUCGGGGCAGGGUGAGUCGACCCCUAAGGCGAGGCCGAAAGGCGUAGUCGAUGGGAAACAGGUUAAUAUUCCUGUACUUGGUGUUACUGCGAAGGGGGGACGGAGAAGGCUAUGUUGGCCGGGCGACGGUUGUCCCGGUUUAAGCGUGUAGGCUGGUUUUCCAGGCAAAUCCGGAAAAUCAAGGCUGAGGCGUGAUGACGAGGCACUACGGUGCUGAAGCAACAAAUGCCCUGCUUCCAGGAAAAGCCUCUAAGCAUCAGGUAACAUCAAAUCGUACCCCAAACCGACACAGGUGGUCAGGUAGAGAAUACCAAGGCGCUUGAGAGAACUCGGGUGAAGGAACUAGGCAAAAUGGUGCCGUAACUUCGGGAGAAGGCACGCUGAUAUGUAGGUGAAGUCCCUCGCGGAUGGAGCUGAAAUCAGUCGAAGAUACCAGCUGGCUGCAACUGUUUAUUAAAAACACAGCACUGUGCAAACACGAAAGUGGACGUAUACGGUGUGACGCCUGCCCGGUGCCGGAAGGUUAAUUGAUGGGGUUAGCCGCAAGGCGAAGCUCUUGAUCGAAGCCCCGGUAAACGGCGGCCGUAACUAUAACGGUCCUAAGGUAGCGAAAUUCCUUGUCGGGUAAGUUCCGACCUGCACGAAUGGCGUAAUGAUGGCCAGGCUGUCUCCACCCGAGACUCAGUGAAAUUGAACUCGCUGUGAAGAUGCAGUGUACCCGCGGCAAGACGGAAAGACCCCGUGAACCUUUACUAUAGCUUGACACUGAACAUUGAGCCUUGAUGUGUAGGAUAGGUGGGAGGCUUUGAAGUGUGGACGCCAGUCUGCAUGGAGCCGACCUUGAAAUACCACCCUUUAAUGUUUGAUGUUCUAACGUUGACCCGUAAUCCGGGUUGCGGACAGUGUCUGGUGGGUAGUUUGACUGGGGCGGUCUCCUCCUAAAGAGUAACGGAGGAGCACGAAGGUUGGCUAAUCCUGGUCGGACAUCAGGAGGUUAGUGCAAUGGCAUAAGCCAGCUUGACUGCGAGCGUGACGGCGCGAGCAGGUGCGAAAGCAGGUCAUAGUGAUCCGGUGGUUCUGAAUGGAAGGGCCAUCGCUCAACGGAUAAAAGGUACUCCGGGGAUAACAGGCUGAUACCGCCCAAGAGUUCAUAUCGACGGCGGUGUUUGGCACCUCGAUGUCGGCUCAUCACAUCCUGGGGCUGAAGUAGGUCCCAAGGGUAUGGCUGUUCGCCAUUUAAAGUGGUACGCGAGCUGGGUUUAGAACGUCGUGAGACAGUUCGGUCCCUAUCUGCCGUGGGCGCUGGAGAACUGAGGGGGGCUGCUCCUAGUACGAGAGGACCGGAGUGGACGCAUCACUGGUGUUCGGGUUGUCAUGCCAAUGGCACUGCCCGGUAGCUAAAUGCGGAAGAGAUAAGUGCUGAAAGCAUCUAAGCACGAAACUUGCCCCGAGAUGAGUUCUCCCUGACCCUUUAAGGGUCCUGAAGGAACGUUGAAGACGACGACGUUGAUAGGCCGGGUGUGUAAGCGCAGCGAUGCGUUGAGCUAACCGGUACUAAUGAACCGUGAGGCUUAACCUU
rnacentral:rRNA from 1 species